GAAGAAAGAGGGAGGCGUGCUUAACACAUGCAAGUCGAACGGUGAAGGGACCGGUUUUUGCUGGUUCUGGAUGAGUGGCGAACGGGUGAGUAACACGUGAGUAACCUGCCCCCUUCUUCUGGAUAACCGCAUGAAAGUGUGGCUAAUACGGGAUAUUCUGCGCCUGCUGCAUGGUGGGUGUGGGAAAGAUAUUGUUUCGGUGGGGGAUGGGCUCGCGGCCUAUCAGCUUGUUGGUGGGGUGAUGGCCUACCAAGGCGGUGACGGGUAGCCGGCCUGAGAGGGUGGACGGUCACACUGGGACUGAGACACGGCCCAGACUCCUACGGGAGGCAGCAGUGGGGAAUAGUGCACAAUGGGCGCAAGCCUGAUGCAGCGACGCCGCGUGAGGGAUGGAGGCCUUCGGGUUGUAAACCUCUUUCGCCAGUGAAGCAGGCCUGUCCCUUUUGUGGGUGGGUUGACGGUAGCUGGAUAAGAAGCGCCGGCUAACUACGUG
rnacentral:rRNA from 1 species